UACGUAGGGUGCAAGCGUUGUCCGGAAUUAUUGGGCGUAAAGAGCUCGUAGGCGGUUUGUCGCGUCGGCUGUGAAAACCUAGGGCUCAACUCUGGGCUUGCAGCCGAUACGGGCAGGCUAGAGUUCGGUAGGGGAGACUGGAAUUCCUGGUGUAGCGGUGAAAUGCGCAGAUAUCAGGAGGAACACCGGUGGCGAAGGCGGGUCUCUGGGCCGAUACUGACGCUGAGGAGCGAAAGCGUGGGGAGCGAACAGG
rnacentral:rRNA from 1 species